GAUGAACGCUGGCGGCGUGCCUAAUACAUGCAAGUCGAGCGAACGGACGAGAAUCUUGCUUUUCUGAUGUUAGCGGCGGACGGGUGAGUAACGCGUGGAUAACCUACCUAUAAGACUUGGAUAACUUCGGGAAACCGGAGCUAAUACCGGAUAAUAUUUUGAACCGCAUGGUUCAAAAGUGAAUGACGGUCUUGCUGUCACUUCUAGAUGGAUCCGCGGUGCAUUAGCUAGUUGGUAAGGUAACGGCUUACGAAGGCAACGAUGCAUAGCCGGCCUGAGAGGGUGAGCGGCCACACUGGAACGGAGAGACGGUCCAGAAUUCUACGGGAGGCAGCAGUAGGGCAUCUGGCGCAAGGGGCGAAAGCCUGACGGAGCGACGCCGCGUGAGUGAUGAAGGUCUUCGGAUCGUAAAACUCUGUUAUUAGGGAAGAACAUAUGGGUAAGGAACUGUGCACAUCUUGACGGUACCUAAUUAGAAAGCAACGGCUAACUACGUG
rnacentral:rRNA from 1 species